GUUGUAUAGUCAAGUAAUUAAGUGCAUGUGGUGGAUGCCUUGGCAGUCAGAGGCGAUGAAAGACGUGAUAGCCUGCGAAAAGCUCCGGGGAGGCGGCAAAUAUCCUUUGAUCCGGAGAUUUCUGAAUGGGGGAACCCACCUACUUUAAGGUAGGUAUUGCAACAUGAAUACAUAGUGUUGCAAGGCGAACGAGGGGAAGUGAAACAUCUCAGUACCCUUAGGAAAAGAAAUCAAUUGAGAUUCCCUCAGUAGCGGCGAGCGAACGGGGAUCAGCCCAUUAAGUUAUGUGUGUUUUAGUGGAACGCUCUGGGAAGUGCGAACGUAGAGGGUGAUAUUCCCGUACACGAAAGGGCACACAUAAUGAUGACGAGUAGGGCGAGGCACGUGAAACCUUGUCUGAAUAUGGGGGGACCAUCCUCCAAGGCUAAAUACUCCUGACUGACCGAUAGUGAACCAGUACCGUGAGGGAAAGGCGAAAAGAACCCCUGUGAGGGGAGUGAAAUAGAUCCUGAAACCGCAUGCAUACAAGCAGUGGGAGCACCUUCGUGGUGUGACUGCGUACCUUUUGUAUAAUGGGU
rnacentral:rRNA from 1 species